GUCAAAUAGAGCAAACAUAGCAACUACCGAAUUGUAAUGGCAACGGCAAGAACAGUGGCAUCUUCGAUUCUCCAUUCCCACACACUCCAACUCCCACUCACAGGCACCCGCACACCAUGCCAUGCCUUUCGCUUACACCUUCACCUUCCACUCUCUCUCAACAACACCACAUCCAUUUUUCCCGCUAAAUCUCCUUCGCGCCUCACCAUCGCCGCUUUAUCCACAAACCACCGCCACAACUCAUCUCAAAACUUCGCCGUCAUUCUCGAAGUCGACGGGUCAUUCUCCAACUCAAUUCAACUCUUCUCCCAUACGCUGCUUCUCACUCUUUUCUUUCGCCUUUUUUAUCUCUUCUUUUUGUUCUUCUGUUAGGGUUCUCAUGGAUGCGCACCGCCUCGGGAAUCGCCUCGCCUUCAAUAAAGCGUUUGAGAAGCUUGGCCUUGAUUGUGCAAACUGGACUGAACCUGUCUAUUCAGAUCUUUCGAGGAAAAGUGCUGGAGAUGAGGAAAAAAUGGUAUUUCUGUAUUUCAACCGUAUUGGAUGGCCGACUUCAUUACCCACUAAUGAGAAGGGACUUUUUGCGAAAAGUGUUUUGCAGGAAAAGGAAAAGGCAUUAGAAGAGUUUGUGAUGUCAAAAAGUCAACCUUUACGACCUGGUCUUGAAAAGUUUAUUGAUGACGCAUAUAAUGAAGGAAUUCCAGUGGUAAUAUUAACAGCCUACAAUAAAAGUGGUGAUAAUAUUGCCAGGACCAUAAUGGAAAAGCUUGGUGAUGAUCGAAGCAUAAAGGUCAUUGUUGUAGGGAAUAAUGAGGUUGAGCAAAGUUUAUAUGGACAACUUGUCUCGGGAAAGGUAAUUGCGUCUGGUUUGGAUGAAGAACUUGCCAAGGAAGCCCAAAGAGCUGCUUCUGCAGAAAGACAAAGGUUAGCAAAGGAGGUAGCAUCUGCACUAAAGUUGAGCGUUGAGAUUGACACCAGCUCAUCUGAAAGUCUGGAUAAGAUUGUGGCUGCACUUCGUGCGGGAGCUGAAUAUGCAGGGUUACCUGUCUGCAACUGUGUACUUGUUGCAGGAAGCCAAUCUGGGGUUGCUGGAGCUAAUCGGGUGGGCAUGCCAUGUGUUGUGUUACGAAGCAGGUGACUGCUUUGUUCUUGGAAUUUGACAUCUAGAGCUGAGUUCCCAUUGGCAAACGCUACAAUGGAUGGAUUUGGAGGUGCAGAUCUUACAAUUUCAAAAUUAAGCAAUCUAUUCCAGAAUAAACAACCAAAGGACUGAAUGAGUGCUGUAUAUCACUCUACCUUUCCCAAGAAGUUUACUGGGAAUGGGCCUUUAGAAAGGGAGUUUAAGAUAGGUAUUUUCAGAUAAAAUGUUUGCUGGUAUACGAUUACAUCAUUUCAUGUUAUAAAUCUGGAAAUGUAGGAUUAGACGGAUUAUACUAAUACAUGUGGUUUUUAAUUUUUUAAAUUGCAUGAUCUGUCAUCUCUCCCAACAGCAUAGGGAAAGACCAAUCUUGUUUUUAUUGUGGCUGUGGAGAAGCUCUCACUGCAGUUGCUAGGUAAAUAUAAUUGUAAUACGUCUGAUGUAAUGCUUUUUAUCUGAAUGGAACUUCAGAGUGUAGAGAGACAAGAUGAUAAUGUAUUUCUUUUCUUAACGCUAAAAGGGGCACCUUGACGAGUGAGAAAUGUCCCGUGGGACUGUUAGUGGUUUGUCGUUUAUUAUAAUUAACAUUUGUAGAGCUAAUUUGAAUUUUGUAUGUUACCCAUAGUGAAGCCGCCCUAAUUAUUGCAUUAUUGGUC